GGAAAUCANGGUAGGGCUUCCCGUGAACCGGGGCCGUCCGACAGCGCGCAUUCCGUCGUGCCCGACGCAUUUGUCUCUCGUCCUAAGGACGCUGCAGCCGGUCGGGCAGAGCAAGCGCGACGGCCUGAAGGGCGGGAAAUGGCAGGUGGCCGGUGGCGNGCCUCGUGCGCGUCGCCGGUUGUUAGCCGUCUCGUCAGUGGCUCGUCGCCCGACCGAGGUGUCACCAGGCCCGCAAGGGCCUACGCGUCUCCUCUCUAAAUAGAUGCGGGCCGUUCCGCGGCAGGCGUCGGCCGUUUUUCCNCCGCACUCCCCCGGAGUGGGCGGGCAAGCGGAAGGCGUCNUUCGCUGCGGAGGCCCCGUCGGAGAUCGGGGGCUGGCAGCGAGUAGGUCGGUCACCCACCCGACCCGUCUUGAAACACGGACCAAGGAGUCUAACAUGUGCGCGAGUCAAUGGGUCUUGAACAGGCCCAGGGGCGCAAUGAAAGNAAAGGUCGGCCUCGCNUCGACCGAGUUGGGAUCCCCUCCUUUGUAGGGGGGGCGCACCAACGACCCGUCCUAUCCGGUUCGCCGGUUGGGCGGAGUACGAGCGUACACGUUGGGACCCGAAAGAUGGUGAACUAUGCCCGGACAGGACGAGGCCAGAGUGAAACU
rnacentral:rRNA from 1 species